UGUAUCUGAAAGGGCCAUUUCAGUGAAGACGAGUAGGGCGGGGCACGUGAAACCCUGUCUGAACAUGGGGGGACCAUCCUCCAAGGCUAAAUACUACUGACCGACCGAUAGUGAACCAGUACCGUGAGGGAAAGGCGAAAAGAACCCCGGAGAGGGGAGUGAAAUAGAACCUGAAACCGUGUGCGUACAAGCAGUAGGAGCUCCGCAAGGAGUGACUGCGUACCUUUUGUAUAAUGGGUCAGCGACUUACUGUUCGUGGCAAGCUUAACCGUAUAGGGGAGGCGAAGGGAAACCGAGUCUGAUAAGGGCGCAUAGUCGCGGGCAGUAGACCCGAAACCGGGUGAUCUAGUCAUGCCCAGGGUGAAGGUGCGGUAACACGCACUGGAGGCCCGAACCCACUCCCGUUGCAAAGGUAGGGGAUGAGGUGUGAUUAGGAGUGAAAAGCUAAUCGAACCCGGAGAUAGCUGGUUCUCCUCGAAAGCUAUUUAGGUAGCGCCUCAUAUGUAUCCUCUCGGGGGUAGAGCACUGUUAUGGCUAGGGGGUCAUCGCGACUUACCAAACCAUUGCAAACUCCGAAUACCGAGACGGACUGUAUGGGAGACACACGGCGGGUGCUAACGUCCGUCGUGAAAAGGGAAACAACCCAGACCCACAGCUAAGGUCCCAAAUUCACUGCUAAGUGGAAAACCAUGUGGAAAGGCACAGACAGCCAGGAGGUUGGCUUAGAAGCAGCCACCCUUUAAAGAAAGCGUAAUAGCUCACUGGUCGAGUCGGUCUGCGGGGAAGAUUUAACGGGGCUAAGCAGUGAACCGAAGCUUGGGGUGCAUAACUUUGUUAUGCGCGGUAGAGGAGCGUUCCGUAAGCCGUUGAAGGUGGAUUGAGAAGUCUGCUGGAGGUAUCGGAAGUGCGAAUGCUGACAUGAGUAACGAUAAUGCGGGUGAAAAACCCGCACGCCGAAAGCCCAAGGUUUCCUUGCGCAACGUUAAUCGGCGCAGGGUGAGUCGGCCCCUAAGGCGAGGACGAAAGUCGUAGUCGAUGGGAAGCAGGUUAAUAUUCCUGCACCUCGCGUAAGUGCGAUGGAGGGACGGAGAAGGUUAGGUGUACCAGGCGUUGGUUGUCCUGGGGAAAGGCGGUAGGUUUGGAUC
rnacentral:rRNA from 1 species